rnacentral:rRNA from 1 species
GACGAACGCUGGCGGCGUGCUUAACACAUGCAAGUCGAACGGAAAGGCCCUGCUUUUGUGGGGUGCUCGAGUGGCGAACGGGUGAGUAACACGUGAGUAACCUGCCCUUGACUUUGGGAUAACUUCAGGAAACUGGGGCUAAUACCGGCUAGGAGCUCCUGCUGCAUGGUGGGGGUUGGAAAGUUUCGGCGGUUGGGGAUGGACUCGCGGCUUAUCAGCUUGUUGGUGGGGUAGUGGCUUACCAAGGCUUUGACGGGUAGCCGGCCUGAGAGGGUGACCGGCCACAUUGGGACUGAGAUACGGCCCAGACUCCUGCGGGAGGCAGCAGUGGGGAAUAUUGCACAAUGGGCGGAAGCCUGAUGCAGCAACGCCGCGUGCGGGAUGACGGCCUUCGGGUUGUAAACCGCUUUCGCCUGUGACGAAGCGUGAGUGACGGUAAUGGGUAAAGAAGCACCGGCUAACUACGU